AUUAAAAUAUAAAAAAACCCUUUUUUUAAAAAAAAAAAAAAAUGACAAGGUUUCCGUAGGUGAACCUGCGGAAGGAUCAUU
rnacentral:rRNA from 1 species